CACGUAGGGGGCAAGCGUUGUUCGGAAUUAUUGGGCGUAAAGGGCAUGUAGGCGGUUUAAAAAGCCCGGCGUGAAAUUCCACAGCUUAACUGUGGCAUUGCGUUGGGAACUGUUAGACUAGAAUUGUGGAGGGGGAGUUAGAAUUCCAGGUGUAGGGGUGAAAUCUGUAGAUAUCUGGAAGAAUACCGGUGGCGAAGGCGAACUCCUGGCCAAUAAUUGACGCUGAGGUGCGAAAGCGUGGGGAUCAAACAGG
rnacentral:rRNA from 1 species